UACGGAGGGGGCUAGCGUUGUUCGGAAUUACUGGGCGUAAAGCGCGCGUAGGCGGCCCUGUAAGUCCGUUGUGAAAGUCAAAGGCUCAACCUUUGAAAGCCGAUGGAUACUGCAGGGCUAGAGUCCGGAAGAGGCGAGUGGAAUUCCUGGUGUAGCGGUGGAAUGCGCAGAUAUCAGGAGGAACACCAAUAGCGAAGGCAGCUCGCUGGGACGGUACUGACGCUGAGACGCGAAAGCGUGGGGAGCGAACAGG
rnacentral:rRNA from 1 species